rnacentral:rRNA from 1 species
GUCCACGCCGUAAACGAUGGAUGCUAGCCGUUGGCAGGCUUGCCUGUCAGUGGCGCAGCUAACGCUUUAAGCAUCCCGCCUGGGGAGUACGGUCGCAAGAUUAAAACUCAAAGGAAUUGACGGGGGCCCCGCACAAGCGGUGGAGCAUGUGGUUCAAUUCGAAGCAACGCGAAGAACCUUACCAGCCCUUGACAUCCCGGUCGCGGGAACGAGAGAUCGAUCCCUUCAGUUCGGCUGGACCGGAGACAGGUGCUGCAUGGCUGUCGU